rnacentral:rRNA from 1 species
CCUACGGGAGUCAGCAGUGAGGCAUAUUGGUCAAUGGCCGAGCGGCUGAACCAGCCAAGUCGCGUGAGGGCAGACGGCCCUACGGGUUGUAAAACUCUUUUGUCGGGGAGCAAAGCGAACCACGUGUGGUUCAUUGAGAGUACCCGAAGAAAAAGCAUCGGCUAACUCCGUGCCAGCAGCGGCGGUAAUACGGAGGAUGCGAGCGUUAUCCGGAUCUAUUGGGUUAAAAGGGUGCGCAGGCGGAGGUGCAAGUCAGCGGUCAAAUUGCGGGGCUCAACCCCGUACUGCCGUUGAAACUGCAUCCCUUGAGUGCGCGAGAAGUAUGCGGAAUGCGUGGUGUAGCGGUGAAAUGCAUAGAUAUCACGCAGAACUCCGAUUGCGAAGGAAGCAUACCGGCGCGCAACUGACGCUCAUGCACGAAAGCGUGGGUAUCGAACAGGAUUAGAUACCCUAGUAGUC